GCUGCAUGUGUGUCCUUGAGCGACAGCACCGGUGCCAAGCUGUAUGGGUCCUAAUGCCCUUCCCUUGGACAACAUCGGUGGAGAGGGGAGACUUGCAGAGACUCUAACGGAGGCCUACAAACUAUCACAGCCAUUUUCAUUUCCAGGUUAAAACAGGUCCAUUUCAUGAAAUAUAAACCAAGAAAUAAAAAGAAACUGGAAUUACCAGAAAGACUCUGCAGGUAUUUGUGUAAUUCCUUCUCGCUCGACCCGUUGUCCUAGGAAGCUGAGAAAUAGCUGCACACAAAUGCAAGCAUUUUCCCGCUCUUUCCAAUUUGUACCGUUGGAUACCAGGAAGCAGUUAUAUUAAGCAAGAACCACGAAACAAAGAAAGAGCAUGAAAGUCGUUCACAGAGAAAAAUCAAACUUCCACCCCACCCCCCAGAUCAAGAAGAACGGGAUCCCAAUCAUCAAACCCCAAAACCCACACCUCACGCACAAAAGUGAACAAUAAUAUCGACCCCCGAUAAAAAAAAACACCCCUACACCGCACAACUGCGGAGGAGACGGUGUCAUCACUGUCGAGGCGGCCGCAUCGGGAGCAGCGGACACAAGAGGCGACCCCGGAAGAUUCACAGGUGAAGUGUCGCCUCACCUGGAAGGAUGUUUGGACAAUGGAGAGAGUUUGGCCGUCCGGCCCUUUCACUGUGACACCCCGAACU